GUGGGGAAUAUUGGACAAUGGGCGCAAGCCUGAUCCAGCCAUGCCGCGUGAGUGAUGAAGGCCCUAGGGUUGUAAAGCUCUUUCACCGGUGAAGAUAAUGACGGUAACCGGAGAAGAAGCCCCGGCUAACUUCGUGCCAGCAGCCGCGGUAAUACGAAGGGGGCUAGCGUUGUUCGGAAUUACUGGGCGUAAAGCGCACGUAGGCGGACAUUUAAGUCAGGGGUGAAAUCCCAGAGCUCAACUCUGGAACUGCCUUUGAUACUGGGUGUCUUGAGUAGGGAAGAGGUAAGUGGAAUUCCGAGUGUAGAGGUGAAAUUCGUAGAUAUUCGGAGGAACACCAGUGGCGAAGGCGGCUUACUGGUCCAUUACUGACGCUGAGGUGCGAAAGCGUGGGGAGCAAACAGGAUUAGAAACCCGAGUAGUCC
rnacentral:rRNA from 1 species